rnacentral:rRNA from 1 species
UACGGGGGGAGCAAGGCGUUGUUCGGAUUUACUGGGCGUAAAGGGCGCGUAGGCGGUCAGCACAAGUCAGUUGUGAAAUCUCCGGGCUUAACUCGGAAAGGUCAACUGAUACUGUGCGACUAGAGUGCAGAAGGGGCAACUGGAAUUCUCGGUGUAGCGGUGAAAUGCGUAGAUAUCGAGAGGAACACCUGCGGCGAAGGCGGGUUGCUGGGCUGACACU